AAAUCUGUUUUCUUUUUCUUCACUCUUCAAACGCGGAAACGGUUUUAACAAAAUGAUGGCAACUAAACGAUGGUUGUGGAUGUAGAAAUGACCAAAGAGCUUCGAAAAGAGGGAGAAGCAGAAGAAAUCGAUGAAUAAGCCCAAUUCGAUGACGACCACAGCAAAAGCAUGGUGACAGAGUAUCUUCACCGCACCAAGUGCUGCUUUCCCGAAUUUCACCAUUUCCAUCUUUGCUUUCUUCUCCUUCUUUCA